rnacentral:rRNA from 1 species
GAUGAACGCUGGCGGCGUGCUUAACACAUGCAAGUCGAACGAGAAGUGAAGACGGAAACCUUCGGGCGGAAGGCUUUAUUUAGAGUGGCGGACGGGUGAGUAACGCGUGGGUAACCUGCCGCAUACAGGGGGAUAACAGUUGGAAAAGACUGUUAAUACCGCAUAAGAAAACAGCACCGCAUGGUGCGGGGGGAAAAACUACGGUGGUAUGAGAUGGACCCGCGUUCGAUUAGCAAGUUGGCGGGGUAACGGCCCACCAAAGCGACGAUCGCUAGCCGAUCUGAGAGGAUGACCGGCCACUUUGGGACUGAGACACGGCCCAAACUCCUACGGGAGGCAGCAGUGGGGAAUACUGCCCAAUGGGGGAAAUCCUGAUGCAGCGACGCCGCUUGAGUGAAGAAGUAUUUCGGUAUGUAAAGCUCUAUCAGCAGGGAAGAAAAUGACGUUACCCGAGUAAGAAGCCCCGGCUAACUACGUG